rnacentral:lncRNA from 1 species
AGACUUUUCAUGUUCCUUCAACUUUUGCAGUUGAAGAGUUUUCCAUAUAGAUCUUCUCUUCACCUUGAAAUGGAGCAAAUGCAGCAAACAACUCUUUAUUUGCACAAACUUGAUGGGUGGCAUCGAAAUCCAUCCACCAUUCUCGAGGAUUUUCCACCAAGUUGCAUUCAGACAGCAUAGCACACAGAUCAUCUAUUUCUUUCUUGGAUUCAGCCAUAUUUGUUUGGUUCUUCUUUUUG